GAUGAACGCUGACAGAAUGCUUAACACAUGCAAGUCGAUUCGAUUUACCUUCGGGUAUUGAGGAUGGCGGACGGGUGAGUAACGCGUAAGGAACUUGCCUCUUGGUCUGGGACAACUGUUGGAAACGACAGCUAAUACCGGAUAUUAUGAGAUUCUCGCAUGGGAAACUUAUGAAAGCUAUAUGCGCCAAGAGAGAGCCUUGCGUUCCAUUAGCUAGUUGGUGGGGUAACGGCCCACCAAGGCGACGAUGGAUAGCCGGCCUGAGAGGGUGAACGGCCACAAGGGGACUGAGACACGGCCCUUACUCCUACGGGAGGCAGCAGUGGGGAAUAUUGGACAAUGGACCAAAAGUCUGAUCCAGCAAUUCUGUGUGCACGAUGAAGGUCUUCGGAUUGUAAAGUGCUUUCAGUUGGGAAGAAGCAAGUGACGGUACCAACAGAAGAAGCGACGGCUAAAUACGUGCCAGCAGCCGCGGUAAUACGUAUGUCGCAAGCGUUAUCCGGAUUUAUUGGGCGUAAAGCGCGUCUAGGCGGAAAAAUAAGUCUGAUGUUAAAAUGCGGGGCUCAACUCCGUAUUGCGUUGGAAACUGUUUUUCUAGAGUACUGGAGAGGUGGGCGGAACUACAAGUGUAGAGGUGAAAUUCGUAGAUAUUUGUAGGAAUGCCGAUGGAGAAGUCAGCUCACUGGNCAGAUACUGACACUAAAGCGCGAAAGCGUGGGGAGCAAACAGGAUUAGAUACCCUGGUAGUCCACGNC
rnacentral:rRNA from 1 species